rnacentral:ribozyme from 1 species
GCUGACUGAAAAAAAAAAAAAAAAAAAAAAAAAAAGAAAUAAAA